GUGUUGUCCUCUUUUUUUUUUUUGGCUACCUGAGUGACAAGCGCCUUAUCAUUAAGUGCCCUUUCGAAGCUUCAAAGUUGCAACGUAAAUUCCAGUUCGGGCCAUAUCUCAUCCCUGUAUUGGCCAUUGGGGUGUUGUUAUCGAAAGUCCAACAAAAACGGCAGCACAGCAGACUAAAUAAAAUUAAAAUAAGACUAUAAAAAAUUAAGGCAUAAAGACACAUUUUGGCAAUGCGACGACUCCCCCAAACCCGAAGUUGGCAUUAUAUUUGCAACUUUAUUGUAUCGACAUUUGCCCCAAAAGCUGCCAGACGAGGGCUAUAUAAGCCAUUCAUUAGAAAUUGUAAUACUCUUUAGUUAGACUCUGAAUUUCUAGACUCUAGAGCUUCUAAAGGAAGUGCUUCUACCUUUAAACUGAUAUCUAAUGUUAAGCUGUAAAAAAAAAUAUUAAAAAAUUAAUA